ACGAACGCUGGCGGCGUGGAUAAGACAUGCAAGUCGAACGGGACAACAUUUGUAGCAAUACAAAUGGUGUUUAGUGGCGAACGGGUGCGUAACACGUGGGCAAUCUGCCGAGAAGUGGGGGAUAGCUCGCCGAAAGGCGAAUUAAUACCGCAUAUGAUCAGGGACGACAUCUUCCCAACAUCAAAGCCGCCCAGCACUUUCAGUUGAUUUGGAAUUCAGGAGACGAUCAUCGCUUCAUCGAGCGGCGGUCAUUUUUGGAAAACUAACGAGUCGAUUGAAAGUGCUGGGUGGCGCUUCUUGAUGAGCCCGCGGCCUAUCAGCUAGUUGGUGAGG
rnacentral:rRNA from 1 species